rnacentral:rRNA from 1 species
GAGAAGCAAUUCUCUUUUAGUGGCGAAAGGGUUAGUAAGGUAUGAGUAACCUGCCUUUUACUACGGAACAACGAUUGGAAACGAUCGCUAAUACUGUAUGACGUGGUUAGUGGCGACACUAAUUAACGAAAGUAGGGGACCUUGAGAGGGGCCUUGCGGUAAGAGAAGGGCUCAUAUAGUAUCAGCUAGUUGGUGAGGUAAUGGCUCACCAAGGCUAAGACGCUUAGGCGGACUGAGAGGUUGACCGCCAACACUGGGACUGAGACACUGCCCAGACUCCUACGGGAGGCAGCAGUCGAGAAUAAUUCGCAAUGGGCGCAAGCCUGACGAUGCGACGCCGUGUGAAUGAUGAAGGCCUUCGGG